GGAAUCUUCCGCAAUGGACGAAAGUCUGACGGAGCAACGCCGCGUGAGUGAUGAAGGUUUUCGGAUCGUAAAGCUCUGUUGCCAGGGAAGAACGCUUGGGAGAGUAACUGCUCUCAAGGUGACGGUACCUGAGAAGAAAGCCCCGGCUAACUACGUGCCAGCAGCCGCGGUAAUACGUAGGGGGCAAGCGUUGUCCGGAAUUAUUGGGCGUAAAGCGCGCGCAGGCGGCCUUGUAAGUCUGUUGUUUAAACUCGGGGCUCAACCCCGAGUCGCAAUGGAAACUGCAAAGCUUGAGUACAGAAGAGGAAAGUGGAAUUCCACGUGUAGCGGUGAAAUGCGUAGAGAUGUGGAGGAACACCAGUGGCGAAGGCGACUUUCUGGGCUGUAACUGACGCUGAGGCGCGAAAGCGUGGGGAGCAAACA
rnacentral:rRNA from 1 species